ensembl:lncRNA
GGCAGACAUUACUCAGACACCUGUGAACACUGAGCAGUGGUUGAAGUCCAAGACAGUGAAAUCAUCUUUAUUAUACUUCUGACUGAACUAGCAAGGAGCAUUAGAGACAAUGAGAAAAACUCAAAAGAAGAUACUUUGAAGAAUGCUGGUAAUCAAACCCAACAAGUUUGUCAGGUGCAGAAAUAAAAGCUCCCAAACAAAGAUGUCACCGGAUUAAGAUGUGGAAAAACCAUAAAUCCUGAGUAAUUUGAAUAUGGUCAACAACCGAAGAAAAGUACCCAUUGUUUUAGUCAGAAAUGAUUCAUGGUAAUAGUAAUAGUAAAUGAUUAGAUAAAUAAAUAAAAAGUACAAAAUGGUGUUAAUUUUAAA